UAUGCUGCAGCAGCAGCCAUGCCAGAUCUGAUCCUUUAACCCACUGUGCUGGGCUGGGGAACGAACCUGCGUCCCGGUGCUGCAGAGACACCACCAAUCCUGUUGCUCCACAGCGACAGCUCCCCCAUACUCUCCGUUCUCUAACUCUGUCCUGACCUCUUAUCUGAACCAUCACGUUCCCUACUUUCUUGACACUCUCUUUACUAUUUAGUGUCAUUUUCUGUCUUUGCCUCAUCACUCAGAUUUGGUUCACAUUCAUGUCAUAUCAGCUAUGACCUUGUUCCCCUUAGAAGCUGAAUCUGCCCCCUACCUCCCAUCCUGGUGACACCAACUGAGGCUGCCUAGUUAAUGGCUCCAUGGCCACUUGCCCCUCGGCAUAGAUCUUCCUUCCCUGGUGCUGCCGCCAUGGGCUGCAGGGACUCACUUCGACUCCAGGCCAGGACAAGAGCGACGGAGACGAGCCUGUCCCUUGGCCACAUCUGGCACUGUAGGAAGGUCAUCCAUCUCCCUUUGUAACACAGCCCUGACAUCUUAGGAUAGAACUCCAAGGAUGCAGGAUCUCCGCUGAGCUGGAAAUCUGGGUGUAUAUCAGGGUUUUUUCAGAGACUCAGAGUCAUAGAAAAUAAAGAAUUACAAUGACCACCUACAGUUGUAGGCAGUGGUGGGAAAGUCUCUUUGAGGUUGUUGCCUUUGCAUCUGAUGUUGGACCUGAAUUCAACUGGCCAGCAGUUGGGAAAGGAAGCUGGGUGCGAAGCUGGCAGAUUCCAGGAUACACUGGAACCCACAAGGAUAAGUGGAAACCCACGUUUGUCUCUUGGUGUCCCCAACCUCUAUGGUCUGAGUGACCUCCACACACACAUCCGGUCCAGGACACUCAGAGAAGCUGGAAGAGGAUUUCCAGCAGGUGGUAGAGGAGCUGUGGGCCUGGGCGCUGUCCCUCCCCAGCAAAGUCAACUAGCAGAUCAGUGACAUGGGUGAACCAUUACAGUGCCCGAUGCGCUUUACCAGCUUCCAGAGCGUGAGUAGAGCUGUUGCUUUAUUUUCCUGUUCAAAUCUCGUGUAGGUUUCUCUCGUGCCCACUCUAACCUGGAGCCAUGUAGGGAAGGGAGCUCUGCAAGCAUAGCUCCAGCCUCCCGAAGCUGACAUGGAACAAAAGCCACCACGAGUCAUGGAAUAUUCAUGCCUGAAUGUGGUUGUCAACUGGGGACGCCUUCAGGGCAAGAGAAGCCCCCUGCUGCCUUCAGAACAGUUUGCCUCUAAUUUCUUUUGUCGUGGUUUUUUUGGUUUGUUUUGUUUUUUAAUACACAUGCAGCCUGCAACAUGUGACAUUCCAUCAGUGAGGCCUUGGUGCCUGGGAGCUGGCCUAGCACUCACAGCAAGACUGUGGUGUUCUCCUGUUCAAGACCAGUAAUUUCACAGAAUGCCAGUAUCAGGCUAGAUCAUUCUGUGACUGGGAUGGAUCAAGACAGAAACAAGACCCCUUUAUAUCUUGUCUAUGAAGAGACAAAAGCAAGGUCAUUAUAUGAACCACAAAAAUACCAACUAGCCCCCUCUCCUAGUUAAGAGGAGUGACUGUGGCUUCUUACCAAUUAUAUUUUAGUCUCUAUUAUCCUUCCUUCUAGAUAAGAUUUAUAACGAUAGCAAAUUAGAGAGUUACUUCCACUUAACUGAUAGCUUCCAACCCAGAACAAAGCCCUAUUUCCUUGAAACCUCCCCCCAAGUUACCUAUUGGAAGCCCAAAUCCUUCAAGUUCUUUCCAUUAUUCUCUUGAUGAACGACCCCUCCAUGUUCCUCAGGAUGUGCAUCCUCUUUCAUUUCGAGGAGCAGUGAAUCCAACUUGUUCAACUACAGGUGCGUUUCUGGGGGCCUCUGUCUAUAAGACAAUGAAAAACGCACACACACGUAUAUAUAUAUAUAUGUAAGAAUCUUGUUUAAACCCUACGGAUUUUACUUAAGUUUUGUAUACUACAUGUUAAGAUUUAUAUGAUGCAUAAAAUUUAAAGUCAAUAAGAUUUAUUGCUUUCCCCAGGAGUGGCAACGAUUACACAUUAAGUGGCCUUCUAAGAAUACCUGGGUAGUCAACCCACACUGCUUUCUCUUACAUGAAUUCCAACAGGCGUCAAGAGGAAGGAGCAAUCCAAAUCGGCCAGUGUUUUCCAUCAAAUUGUCCUUCACAGGAGAGUUAGAACUUCAGUUGAGUCUCUGGAGUGGUGGCCGGGAAGGAAGUAGGAUAUUGUAAGUACAGAAGGAAACUGGAAAGUACAUAAGAUUAAACAUACGGAGGGGAGCUCUUUUAAAGAAGGGCGAAUUCUUUCCCAGUGGGAACACUUUAUUACAAUGACAGGUCAGGUUGGCCAGCCGAAGCAAAGACAACCAAGAUGAGGCCAAUUGUUGGUGGAUUGCAAGGGCUAGGGUCAAUAAUUUGGCUUCUUAUUGCCCAUUUGAAAACAUCACGCGAAUGUUGAUAUCUCCAGAAGAGUGAAAGGAUAAAAGUUGCAUUCUAGAAAGACCCAUCAGGCUGGCCAUGCUAGAAUGAGGCAGUAGUUAGGAGACCCAGCCUGAGUUCAAAUCCCCGCUUUGUCAUUUACACACUGUGACCUUGAACGUGACAUUCAGUCCCCCUCCUUUCCAUCUGUACAGGGGAGUGAAAUGAGGAUUCAGGGAGUUCAUGAGUACAGGAGUGAAGUGUGUAGAACCGUGUCUGACCUACUGCACUCAGUAAAUACUGGUGACUAUUAUGUUGGUGGUUGUUUCAUGGUUGUUCUUCAGGAGGAGAAGAUUGGAGAUGGAGAAACCAGUUAUGCAAGACCUUUUGAGGGGUGGAGAGAGGAAGAGAAGAUUUAGAAUGCUGUUGAAGUCCAAGCUUGUGGAAAGAAGUUUGGCCAUCUGUGGAGUGAGGUUGAUCAGGGGAAAGGGUGGGUAGAAAUAAAUGGGGGCCACAGGGUAGAAGGGCCAAGGGUAUUGAGGACAAAAAAAGCAAUGGGACUAUUUAAGUGGGAGAUGUCUGGAUAAAUUUAUAAGGAAAAAUGCCAGAGCUUGCAGUGAUUUUUUUACACAUUUCCCCAUCUACAUUUGAUGGGGGGAUUUGGGGGGCUUACAGUCUGGGCUUAUUGAAAGAGGCCAGUGCAAUUGAACAAGUGGGACAUUUGUAGCAUUCUUCCCAGCAUAAUACCCAUUGACCUGUUGUUCUUUGGGAGUUAUGGGGGGAGGGGUUUGAAUAUGACUAUUUAUGGUUCUUUAAGACCUAAAAAUUUCCAUGCUUUCAAAUCCAUCACCUACUCAGAACCUAAUGGACCUUCCACAUUUACCUCCUGUAUCGGAAUAUUAGUCAAUAAAAUCUCUUCCAUCCUGACUU
rnacentral:lncRNA from 1 species